AUUACCCAGUAUUGGGUUUGGUUUUACCGAAAUACCCACGAUGGGUUUCACUCAACAUAUAUACCCAAAACCAGUUUGCGUAUUACCGAAAUACCCAAAACAGUGGAAGCCGUACGUCAGAAUUCGUAUCCCUACGCAUUGCACUCGAUUCAUGUUCCAAUCGGUGAAAAAAAUUCCGAUUUUGUUUCUAAUCGUCUUCUACAAUCGAUUCUUUAAAGUCCGAUGAUCCGAUCGCGUCUUGAGGGCUUAAGUUUCUGUUCGGUCCAUGUAUUUCCGAAAGGGGAAAGAAUGGCGAUGGUGAUUUCAGUUGUUCGGAGUCUUCGGACUAUGGAUUUCCGAGAGGAGGGAGAUUUGUAGCUGGUUUCAGGAGAUUUAGGGCUUAAAUAGAAUGGAGGGAGAAGCACGGCGGGAGAAGGACUCGAGGGAGAAGAAUCCGUGACUCACCCAUCGACUUCUCAUUCACACACAGAGAGAGACAGAGGAGGGGAGAGAACCGGUGCUGCGUUCUCUGGUCGCCAUUCAGUUGGAACGAUUCUGAAGUUUCUUCUCUUGGAACCGUUUGUUGUUCCUGUCGCUUCUUCUGGUGCUGCUCCGGCUCCGGCUCCGGCUCCGGCUCUGCUCCAUCUCCAUGGGAGAAAGACAAAGGAGGGGAGACAACUCAGACCCACGACAUCGUUCAUCUUCUUCGGGUUGGAUGUUCAUCUGAGGUCCAACUAUCCUGUCCAAUUUUACAAGUUUCUCUAUUUUGUCUCCACAAGAUAGACACAGAGAGUAGAUUGCAACUUUAACCAAUGGAAUUAAGGAGCUUCAGCCAUUUGCAUUUUUAUUGGGGCAAUUAAGAAUGGUAUGGUGGAGAAAAUCAUCAAUGUAGAUUCUCAUGGAAGACCAGCCCUGAGGUUCAAAACAAUAGAGGCUAUAUAUGAAUCUGAAGAUACCAAAAAUCUAGGUUCCUGCACAACAUUUCAGCAGCAAGGAAGGGGGUUGAUGAGUUCGCCAUUUGGUUGUGGUGGGGUCAAGAUUGACAGGCCGGUUCUUCUCACAGAUGGCAGAUGUUAUCAAAACUGACCCUGAACUGUGUCAUUUAGGCAAGGAUGCUUGUGAUGCCAUAAGAAAAGGUGACAUGGAUGAUCUUUGCUUUAGUGAAAUGACAUUAAGACAGCUUAAGGACAGAUGCAAAACAAAGAAAAGGAAACUUCCAAAAUCUGUUGAACUGAAAAAAGAACCAGGCUGUCAUCUAAGUGAAUAUUAUGCAAAAUUGGAACUGAAGGAAGAUGAAUCUGACCUGGAGGAAAGUCUCAGCAGUUGGAAAUUAAAGCUGAAAAAAGUAACGGCCAAACGGAAGUGCAUUAAGAAAGAAGUGCAUUCGCCUUCCAAAUCUGCUGUUUCAGUUUCAGCAUCUGAACAAACUCCAAGUUCACCUCAAAGUAUUGGGGAUCUAACUGGAUCCAUUAAAUCUGAGAUUGAGAUUUCAGAAGUGCAUUCACCUUCUAUUUCUGCUGUUUCAGUUUUAGUAUCUGAACAAACUCCAAGUGCCCCUCAAAAUUCACCUCAAAAUACUUUGGAUCUAACUGGAUCCAUUAAAUCUGAGAUCGAGAUUUCAGGACCUGAGUUUUCAGAGUGUCAUAAUUUGGAUGGUUUUACCUUUGGUGCUACUGUCAAUUCCCACUCUGUAGUUGAUAUCAGUGCAAACCGAUCUGAUGAAGUGGCAGGGAUAUGUGAGAGAAGUGAGUUGGCCAUUGGACAAUCAAUUUUUCUUACUACAGAGUCUCGAAGUUGUGUUGUUACAGAAGUUUCAAUCGAAUGCUUGGAUCAAGACAACUCUUUCAGGGUGAAUAUGAAUCUACUGAUAGUGGAGACGUUGGAGGGCAAGCCAUGGUUAGUAAUGUUGUAGAUGAUUCAGUAUUGUCAAUUGGAGCAUCCAUUGAUAAAGAUAUAUCAAGUACGGACAUUGUUCUAUAUGAUCAAUCCAAUCACGUUUCAGAGUUGAUCUGGAAGGGUGAGUGUCCAUCGAAGUGCUUCGGUUUGUUCUCUAGUUCGACUGCCCUUCCACCAACUCUGCAAAAUUGGAUUUGGUAUUCGGAGUUGUAAGCACUGGCGAUCAAAGUGCUUGGAUUAGUUCUCUAGUUCACCUGCCCUCCCAUCGACUUUGCAAAAUUGGAUUUGGUAUUCUCCUCCUCCUCUCUCUCUCUCUUUCUGGCUUUCUCUGAAUGUCGCUCUCUAUUUGGGGAAGAUGGGUCAAUUGGCUUUAUCUACCUUUCUCUGAACUAACCCAAGAAUUACUGGCCAGUUGCUCAGUUUCUGUAUCAGUCUAAAGGAGACCCGCAAGGAGCUGAGGAAUACUACUCGCGUGCCAUACUAGUAGAUCCAACAGAUGGGGAGAUCAUGUCACAGUAUGCUGAACUGUUGUGGGAGCUCCACCAUGACUGGGACCGAGCUUCAAGUUACUUUGAACGUGCAGUCCAAGCUGCACCUGAGGAUAACCAUGUGAUUGCAGCAUAUGCUAGCUUCUUGUGGGAAACAGAGGAUGAAGAAGGCAGCUUGCCACAGGAUCUUGUUGCUGUGCCAGCUUACCAAUUUGCAAGUGCUUGAUUCUGGCAUAAAUUGAUAGAGAAACUCAAAAACUCUCUGGGAUGGAAUUACAGUAUUGGAAAUUUCAAGUCCAUGAUUUCUUUUGAAACAAAAGAAAGUUCUCUUUAAUACCUUUUGGUGUAUUUAAGGGAAAGGAAGUACUCUAAAUUUUAAUUUCUGUGGGGGCAUUUGGCCAUGAAUUUACAAUUUCCUCAUGGGAAUUUAAAAUAUUUUCUUUUCUGUUC